AGCCCGGUAGUGUAGCGGUCAAGCAUUUGGGCCUUUGAAGCCCGAGACGCAAGUUCGAGUCUUGCCCGGGCUAC
rnacentral:tRNA from 1 species